rnacentral:rRNA from 1 species
AGCGGAUGAGUUGCGAACGGGUGAGUAACGCGUAGGUAACCUGCCUCUUAGCGGGGGAUAACUAUUGGAAACGAUAGCUAAUACCGCAUAAAAGUCGAUAUCGCAUGAUAUUGAUUUGAAAGGUGCAAUUGCAUCACUAAGAGAUGGACCUGCGUUGUAUUAGCUAGUUGGUGAGGUAACGGCUCACCAAGGCGACGAUACAUAGCCGACCUGAGAGGGUGAUCGGCCACACUGGGACUGAGACACGGCCCAGACUCC